UACGUAGGGUGCGAGCGUUGUCCGGAAUUAUUGGGCGUAAAGGGCUCGUAGGCGGUUUGUCGCGUCGGGAGUGAAAACCCAGGGCUUAACUCUGGGCUUGCUUUCGAUACGGGCAGACUAGAGGUAUGCAGGGGAGAACGGAAUUUCUGGUGUAGCGGUGAAAUGCGCAGAUAUCAGGAGGAACACCGGUGGCGAAGGCAGCUCGCUGGGACGGUACUGACGCUGAGGCGCGAAAGCGUGGGGAGCAAACAGG
rnacentral:rRNA from 1 species